UAAGUUUUCUAAUAUUUAUACCGCAGUGAAUAUUGAUAACAUGGCGGACGCAGACUCUCUACACGACAUCGACACGAGCUCAGACUUGGAUGCCGAUACUAGAGCCAUUGACGCCGAUGCAGAAAGCGAAGAGCAAACUGAGGACAACCAAGAUGCCACAGCAAGGAAAAAGAGUAAGAAGAAACGAAGGAA